CCUACGGGUGGCAGCAGUGAGGAAUCUUUCACAAUGGGCGAAAGCCUGAUGGAGCAACGCCGCGUGCAGGAUGAAGGCCUUCGGGUUGUAAACUGCUUUUAUAAGCGAGAAAUAUGAUGGUAACUUAUGAAUAAGGAUCGGCUAACUACGUGCCAGCAGCCGCGGUCAUACGUAGGAUCCGAGCAUUAUCCGGAGUGACUGGGUGUAAAGAGUUGCGUAGGUGGCAUAAUAAGUAGCUAGUGAAAUCUGGUGGCUCAACCAUUCAGACUAUUAGCUAAACUGUUAAGCUCGAGACCGUUAGGGGUAACUGGAAUGUCUAGUGUAGGAGUGAAAUCCGUAGAUAUUAGAAGGAACACCAAUAGCGUAGGCAGGUUGCUGGGACGGUUCUGACACUAAGGCACGAAAGCGUAGGGAGCAAACGGGAUUAGAUACCCCAGUAGUC
rnacentral:rRNA from 1 species